UGAGUAACGCGUGGGUAACCUGCCCUAUACACAUGGAUAACAUACUGAAAAGUUUACUAAUACAUGAUAAUAUAUAUUUACGGCAUCGUAGAUAUAUCAAAGUGUUAGCGGUAUAGGAUGGACCCGCGUCUGAUUAGCUAGUUGGUGAGAUAACUGCCCACCAAGGCGACGAUCAGUAGCCGACCUGAGAGGGUGAUCGGCCACAUUGGAACUGAGAAACGGUCCAAACUCCUACGGGAGGCAGCAGCG
rnacentral:rRNA from 1 species